ACCUCUUCUAUCAGAUCUUCACUUCAUUGGAAGAUCAGGGAACACUCAAUCCAGACAACCAAGUCCAUCUUUAUGCCCUGCACCGGAUCUUCCUUCCCCAAAUUCAGAGAACCCUCAGCUCCUUCAGAGAUGCUUGGAACUUUCAUGGACUUAGAACUGAAAGGAAUCAAUCACCUAAUGAACUCUGGAGAAGAUACAGAGAGCAAGGCCCCAUGGAGGAUCCUGCAGAGGUUUAUGAAGACUAUGGGAUCGACUGGAAUGGGCCUCACAAUCAGCAUGGAGACACUGUGUCAGUUCCUGAGAUUCAGAUGGCCCGUGAGCUCUCAGAUGAAGAGGUUGCCAUUUUGCCAGUUUCAGGAGUUUCUUUAAAUGAUGCAAUUGGAUCAUAUUUGGAGACAGUGCAAGUUUUGUCAAGAAUCAUUGGAGACUGAUAUCUUAAGCAGGCCUUUUAUUUUAUUUAUUGUGCAAAUGUCACUCAUGAAUUAGUUAACUUGAUUUGUCAAUAAAAAUCUGAAAUCAUAA